UACAGACCAGUUACAACACCCUGAUCAAAGAGAGAGACCAGCUACAGACCAGAUACAACACCCUGACCAGAGAGAUAGACCAGCUACAGACCAGAUACAACACCCUGACCAAAGAGAGAGACCAGCUACAGACCAGAUACAACACCCUGACCAAAGAGAGAGACCAGCUACAGAAAGAGACAGAACGUCUGAAACAAUCUUUAGUUGAGAAAGUGUGUCCUCAAGGAUGGAAGAAGCUUGGUAACAGUUGUUACUACGUCUCUACUGAGUCCAAAUCCUGGGAGGAGAGCAGACAGGACUGCAGAAAUAGAGGAGCAGACCUGGUGGUCAUCAACAGCCAAGAACAACAGACAUUAGUCAAUUGGUUAUGCGGGGUAAAGAAAUAUGUCUGGAUUGGUCUGACUGACUCUGUUUCUGAGGGGACCUGGAAAUGGGUGGACGACACACCACUGACCACACAGUAAGACAUUCAUGAAUUCUGUGUCACUAUGACAUCACUGUCUGGAGUAGUAGGUUCAGAGUGGACAGCCUGAUUCUAUGUGUUGUUUCUCCUACAGGUAUUGGAACAGUGGACAG